AACGAACGCUGGCGGCGUGCCUAACACAUGCAAGUCGUGCGAGAAAGUCACUUCGGUGGCGAGUAAAGCGGCGCACGGGUGAGUAACACGUGGGUAACCUGCCCUUGAGUCUGGGAUAACCCGGGGAAACCCGGGCUAAUACCGGAUACGGCCGUGAGGUCCUCGGACCUUGCGGAGAAAGACGGCGCUCCUUCGGGAGCUUUCACUCGAGGAUGGGCCUGCGUCCCAUUAGCUAGUUGGUGAGGUAACGGCCCACCAAGGCUACGAUCAGUAGCUGGUCUGAGAGGAUGAUCAGCCACACUGGAACUGAGACACGGUCCAGACUCCUACGGGAGGCAG
rnacentral:rRNA from 1 species